rnacentral:rRNA from 1 species
UACAGAGGGUGCAAGCGUUAUUCGGAUUUACUGGGCGUAAAGAGCGUGUAGGUGGCUCGAUAAGUCUGAUGUGAAAGCCCUGGGCUCAACCCAGGAAGUGCAUUGGAUACUGUCAAGCUAGAGGACAGGAGGGGAGAGCGGAAUUCCAGGUGUAGAGGUGAAAUUCGUAGAUAUCUGGAGGAACAACGGUGGCGAAGGCGGCUCUCUGGACUGUAACUGACACUAAGGCGCGAAAGCGUGGGGAGCAAACAGG